rnacentral:tRNA from 1 species
GGAGAGGUGGCUGAGUGGUUGAAAGCGGCGGUCUUGAAAACCGUUGAGGGUUUGUAGCCCUCCGUGGGUUCGAAUCCCACCCUCUCCGCCA